rnacentral:snRNA from 1 species
AGGGAUAGCGCCAUGGCUCAC